CAGGCUCCGUGGAAGGAAGGUCCUGCCCCGUGUCUCCAUCCCGUCUCCCUGGGCCUGGGCGCUCAGACCAGGUUGUACUCCUUGAGGUUGAGCUGCAGGAUGGUGUCCUUCACGGCCGCGAACACGAAGCGGAUGUUCUCCGUGUCGGUGGCACACGUGAAGGCAGGUCCUUCUUGUUGAGGAAGAGGAUGACGGAGGAGUUCUGGAACCAGGGGACUUGGUCGUAUUCGCUGAGGGCGACGAGAAACAUGAUGGAUGUCACGUUCUCAAAGCAGUGGAUCCACUUCCUCCGCUCCGACCGCUGGCCCCCCACAUCCACCAUCCUGAAAGGACACAGCG
rnacentral:lncRNA from 1 species